rnacentral:lncRNA from 1 species
AGAAUUUGAAAUAUUCUUAGUUGUAAGCUGGAGGUUUUAGGCUAUCAUUCACAAUUCAUAAUAUUAUUGGUUGUGAAUGAGAGUUUUUAGAUUAAUAUUUGCAACCCAUAAUAUUUUUGGUUGUGAAUAAGAAAUUAUCUUAGGCUAUUAAUACAACUUGAAAUAUUCUUGAUUGUGAAUGAAAGUUUUUAUACUAUAAUUCACAUCAUCUUCGCUCUCACCUCCGUCGUGCCCGCAUCUUGCUACGCCGUUGACGAGGACUCAACCUCCCUCAUAGUCAACCUCUUAGACGACCUUCGUGGUCUCACCGCCAAUCACCCCAAAAACAGUGAUGAUCUCCACGAUCUUGCCCCACACAUAUCCCCUCCGUCGCUCACUCUACCGACUCCAUCAAAUUCUCCUGCACUGCUGCCUUUGUAAUCCUAUUCCUUAACCAAGGCUUGUCCAUCGGCCACUCUCUCUCUUUCCUUCUUUUCUCUCUACCUUUUACUUUCUUUUUCAAUAGAACACUCGGGAUCCCAAACUCAGAGAUCCCAGCCUCAUCUCCUGAAACCCCGCCCCAUUCCUCGUCUCGAGAUACCCUCACUCCUACGACAAAUUUGAUGAUACAAGACAACCCAUUUUUGUUUCCUCUCUUCUUGAAGAAAACGUUGAUGAGCAGAAAAAGUUGGUUAUGUCGGAUGAAGAUGACAAGAUCCGAGGGGGUAAUUAUGUAAUUUUGUACAAAAAUUGAUUAACUUGUAUUUUUUUUAAUCUUUGUGGAUACUUUUUAUUUUUGUUAUAUGAGAAUGGAUAGUUUCGUAUAUUAACUCUGUAUAAUAAUAUGGCGUUUGCAUUUUGAUGAGGAUAAAAGUAUGCCCCUCUAAGGAACAAAGUUAAAGUGGGC